rnacentral:rRNA from 1 species
CUGGCGGCGUGCUUACACAUGCAAGUCGAACGGACUAACUAAGNAAGAAGCCUUCGGGUGGACACUUAAGAGGUUAGUGGCGGACGGGUGAGUAACGCGUGGGUAACCUACCCUUUAAACUGGGAUAACUCCGGGAAACUGGAGCUAAUACCAGAUGACCUUAAGAGAUGGCAUCAUCACUUAAGAAAAGGAGGCCUCUGAUAAAAGCUUCCGAUAAAGGAUGGACCCGCGUCCCNUUAGCUAGUUGGUGAGGUAACGGCUCACCAAGGCAACGAUGGGUAGCCGGCCUGAGAGGGUGAACGGCCACACUGGGACUGAGACACGGCCCAGACUCCUACGGGAGGCAGCAGUGGGGAAUAUUGCGCAAUGGGGGAAACCCUGACGCAGCAACGCCGCGUGAGUGAAGAAGGCCUUCGGGUCGUAAAGCUCUGUGAUUAGGGAAGAAGUCUAUUAUGUUAAUAGCGUAAUAGGUGACGGUACCUAAGGAGGAAGCCACGGCUAACUACGUGCCAGCAGCCGCGGUAAUACGUAGGUGGCAAGCGUUGUCCGGAAUUACUGGGCGUAAAGGGCGUGUAGGUGGUCUAUCAAGUCAGGUGUGAAAUCCUGGGGCUUAACCCCAGGCAUGCAUUUGAAACUGGUGGACUUGAGGGCAAGAGAGGAAAGUGGAAUUCCUAGUGUAGCGGGUGAAAAUGCGUAGAUAUUAGGAGGAACACCAGUGGCGNAANGCGACUUUCUGGAUUGACCUGACNCUGAGGCGCGNAAGCC